rnacentral:rRNA from 1 species
CAGCCGCCGCGGUAAUACGUAGGGUGCAAGCGUUAAUCGGAAUUACUGGGCGUAAAGCGUGCGCAGGCGGUUUUGUAAGACAGAGGUGAAAUCCCCGGGCUCAACCUGGGAACUGCCUUUGUGACUGCAAGGCUAGAGUACGGCAGAGGGGGAUGGAAUUCCGCGUGUAGCAGUGAAAUGCGUAGAUAUGCGGAGGAACACCGAUGGCGAAGGCAAUCCCCUGGGCCUGUACUGACGCUCAUGCACGAAAGCGUGGGGAGCAAACAGGAUUAGAUACCCGCGUAGUCCCUGUCUCUUAUAC